rnacentral:rRNA from 1 species
GAUGAACGCUGGCGGUAUGCUUAACACAUCCAUGUCGUACGAAGAUUUUUGAUCUUAGUGGCGGACGGGUGAGUAACACGUGAGAAUCUGCCCUUAGGAAGAGGAUAACAGCUGGAAGCGGUUGCUAAUACUCUAUACGCCGAGAGGUAAAAGGAUGUAUCCACCUUAGGAAGAGCUCGCGUCUGAUUAGCUUGUUGGUAAGGUAAUGGCUUACCAAGGCGACGAUCAGUAGCUGGUUUGAGAGGACGACCAGCCACACUGGGACUGAGACACGGCCCAGACUCCUACGGGAGGCAGCAGUGGGGAAUUUUCCGCAAUGGGCGAAAGCCUGACGGAGCAAUACCGCGUGAGGGAUGAAAGCCUGUGGGUUGUAAACCUCUUUUCUCAAGGAAGAAGUUCUGACGGUACUUGAGGAAUAAGCAUCGGCUAACUCUGUGCCAGCAGCCGCGGUAAUACAGAGGAUGCAAGCGUUAUCCGGAAUCACUGGGCAUAAAGCGUCUGUAGGUUGCCUACCAAGUCUGCUGUUAAAGAUCAGGGCCUAACCCUGGGAAAGCAGUGGAAACUAGUAGGCUUGAGUGUGGUAGAGGUAGAGGGAAUUCCUGGUGUAGCGGUGAAAUGCGUAGAUAUUAGGAAGAACACCAAUGGCGAAAGCACUCUACUGGGCCAUAACUGACACUGAGAGACGACAGCUAGGGGAGCAAAUGGGAUUAGAUACCCCAGUAGUCCUAGCCGUAAACGAUGGAUACUAGGUGUUGCACGUAUUAACCCGUGCAGUAUCGUAGCUAAGGCGUUAAGUAUCCCGCCUGGGAAGUACGCUCGNCAGAGUGAAACUCAAAGGAAUUGACGGGGGCCCGCACNAAGCGUGGAGUAUGUGGGUUAAUUCGAUGNCACGCGAAGAACCUU